GAUGAACGCUGGCGGCGUGCUUAACACAUGCAAGUCGAACGGUGAACACGGAGCUUGCUCUGUGGGAUCAGUGGCGAACGGGUGAGUAACACGUGAGCAACCUGCCCCUGACUCUGGGAUAAGCGCUGGAAACGGCGUCUAAUACUGGAUAUGUGACGUGACCGCAUGGUCUGCGUUUGGAAAGAUUUUUCGGUUGGGGAUGGGCUCGCGGCCUAUCAGCUUGUUGGUGAGGUAAUGGCUCACCAAGGCGUCGACGGGUAGCCGGCCUGAGAGGGUGACCGGCCACACUGGGACUGAGACACGGCCACGACUCCUACGGGAGGCAGCAGUGGGGAAUAUUGCACAAUGGGCGCAAGCCUGAUGCAGCAACGCCGCGUGAGGGAUGACGGCCUUCGGGUUGUAAACCUCUUUUAGCAGGGAAGAAGCGAAAGUGACGGUACCUGCAGAAAAAGCGCCGGCUAACUACGUG
rnacentral:rRNA from 1 species